GGGGUUGUGGCUCAGUGGUAGAGCACUUGCUUAGCAUUUGUGAGGCACUGUAUUUGAUUCUCAGCAACACAUAAAAAUGAAUAAAUAAAAUAAAGGUAUUUCCAUCUACAACUAAAAAAUGUUUAAAAAAAUGGUUGUGUGUUAAGAAAUGACUUUUAACUAAAGGUGAAGUAAAAUUAUACUAAUGUUAUUUUCAACAGUUUGUUCAAGACACUGAUUCCU
rnacentral:tRNA from 1 species